rnacentral:rRNA from 1 species
UACAGGGGUCUCAAGCGUUGUUCGGAUUCAUUGGGCGUAAAGGGUGUGUAGGUGGCGCGCUAAGUCGGGUGUGAAAUUUCGGAGCUUAACUCCGAAACUGCAUUCGAUACUGGCGUGCUUGAGGGCUGGAGAGGAGACUGGAAUUCAUGGUGUAGCAGUGAAAUGCGUAGAGAUCAUGAGGAAGACCAGUGGCGAAGGCGGGUCUCUGGACAGUUCCUGACACUGAGACACGAAGGCCAGGGGAGCAAACGGG